UUUGGGUCCACCGCGUGCGGCGCCGUGCUGGGCUCCUAGGAUCCGCAGCGAGUCCAGUGACUCCCACCGCACCCCCAGUAAUCACAGGGCGGCCGGCAACCGCGGGCAGGGGAGGGGGUCUGGGAAGGCCCCUGGAGAAGGUGGCAUUUCCUCGAGGUCGGUGGAAUUUCGCUACGCGAAAGGAACAGCGCCUGUUUCGGGCCAGCAGAGCCUUCGCAGGCUCUUGACGUCCUUGCGAGGUGAUCUCUGCGACCACCAGACAGGAGAGAAGACCCAUUUUACAGAUAAGGUGACCAGAAGUCAGCAGCUUCCCAGAAGCCCCGAAGCCGGGGCAUCCUCCACUCACUCUUCUGCUGUGUCUGCCGGGAUGAUGGGGAGGCCCUGCCUGCUCACAGCGGGGCGCCCCUGCUUGUGGAGGAGAAUGGCGCCAUCCCUAAGCAGACCCCAGUCCAAUACCUGCUCCCUGAGGCCAAGGCCCAGGACUCAGACAAGAUCUGCGUGGUCAUCGACCUGGACGAGACCCUGGUGCACAGCUCCUUCAAGCCAGUGAACAACGCGGACUUCAUCAUCCCUGUGGAGAUUGAUGGGGUGGUCCACCAGGUCUACGUGUUGAAGCGGCCUCACGUGGAUGAGUUCCUGCAGCGAAUGGGCGAGCUCUUUGAAUGUGUGCUGUUCACUGCUAGCCUCGCCAAGUACGCAGACCCAGUAGCUGACCUGCUGGACAAAUGGGGGGCCUUCCGGGCCCGGCUGUUUCGAGAGUCCUGCGUCUUCCACCGGGGGAACUACGUGAAGGACCUGAGCCGGUUGGGUCGAGACCUGCGGCGGGUGCUCAUCCUGGACAACUCACCUGCCUCCUAUGUCUUCCAUCCAGACAAUG
rnacentral:sRNA from 1 species